GCUAGGUUGGCCGAGUGGUCUAAGGCGCCAGACCACCGAGAGACCUAGGGCGAGAGAGGUUGAGGAUUUCUGGUGGGGCGACCCGCGCGAGUUCGAAUCUUGCACCUGGCA